AAGUUAGCGGCGGACGGGUGAGUAACACGUGGGUAACCUGCCCAUAAGACUGGGAUAACUCCGGGAAACCGGGGCUAAUACCGGAUAAUAUUUUGAACUGCAUGGUUCGAAAUUGAAAGGCGGCUUCGGCUGUCACUUAUGGAUGGACCCGCGUCGCAUUAGCUAGUUGGUGAGGUAACGGCUCACCAAGGCAACGAUGCGUAGCCGACCUGAGAGGGUGAUCGGCCACACUGGGACUGAGACACGGCCCACACUCCUACGGGAGGCAGCAGUAGGGAAUCUUCCGCAAUGGACGAAAGUCUGACGGAGCAACGCCGCGUGAGUGAUGAAGGCUUUCGGGUCGUAAAACUCUGUUGUUAGGGAAAAACAAGUGCUAGUUGAAUAAGCUGGCACCUUGACGGUACCUAACCAAAAAGCCACGGCUAACUACGUGCCAGCAGCCGCGGUAAUACGUAGGUGGCAAGCGUUAUCCGGAAUUAUUGGGCGUAAAGCGCGCGCAGGUGGUUUCUUAAGUCUGAUGUGAAAGCCCACGGCUCACCCGUGGAGGGUCAUUGGAAACUGGGAGACUUGAGUGCAGAAGAGGAGAGUGGAAUUCCAUGUGUAGCGGUGAAAUGCGUAGAGAUAUGGAGGAACACCAGUGGCGAAGGCGACUUUCUGGUCUGUAACUGACACUGAGGCGCGAAAG
rnacentral:rRNA from 1 species